rnacentral:lncRNA from 1 species
CUAUCUUGACUCCCCAUCCCUCCUACUCCUUUAUAUCAGGUAUAUUUUGACUUUUACAUUAAUAGAUUCUUCAACAGAUAGAAUCUCACUACAUGUAUCUGUUUCCCUCUGCCCCCACUUCCAUUUUUUGUUCCACUGCUAAAACCUGCCUUCCAUAGGAUCUGUUGACUCUCAACCCAAAACUUUCUCCACUGGGCAGACGGCUCCCUCAUCCCCUGCCCCUAGUUCUAGACUGUCACCCUUCUCUGCCUCUCAUCAGUCAAUUAACUCUUAAACACUUUGCACCUUCCAGAAACAUGUUAAAAUCUCUCAUUCUUUGUAAACCUCAGUUCUAUUCUCUUCCCUGCUAUGGGUUUAUUCCUUUUGGUAUUUCUAGAUUUUAAUUUUGGUUGAUCUGGGGAGUAAUGGGAGGCAAAUGUGUGCACCUGGUCCAUCUCCAAUGACACAGAUGUCACUUUAUAGAGCAAAGGACUGUAUAUUCAUUGUUGUUUUGCAUCUCUGUUUCAAUUCCCUCUUAAUUAUGUUUGUUCUACUUUUUCCUAUUUGAAGACUAUUCUUGAGAGAAUAUGCAUUAAGCAAUUUUUCUUUCCUUUGCCAUUAGUUUAUAACAUGCUAUUCUUCUUGUAUUACACUUUGAUAAAAUCUACCUUAUUUCUACUGAAGAAGUGUUUUUUCACACACCUCAGCUCAUUCUAUCUAUAAUUCCUGGAUGUUUAUCCCACUCUUGGGUAUUUAGCUUUCACCAUACUUCAACCUCUCCUUUCACUUCGAACCUUAACUUUCAAAAACCAAAGUAAAACCUCCUUUUCAAAAGUAAGUAAAAAUAAAAGAUUGAGUAUCUCAUUUCCAAAGACAGCAACUCUGCUGCUCUAUAAACCAGUGCCUAAGGGAGUCAGCUUUUAAACUUUUAGUCCUCUGUGGUGUGACUAUAUAUAGCUCCAUGGUUACGAUAUCAGCUUUGGAAUGGGAUUGACUGUAUUCAAAUCCUGCCCUGCCACUUACUUGGUUGCAAUCUCCAGAAGUCACCAUAUGGCAGAAGUUAGUGAACCAUUCUCCAAAUCCUUUCCCCUUUCCUCCUGGAGAUAUGACCAGACUCUCUUUCUUAGCCUCCUUUGUAGUUAAGAGUAACCAUGAGAUUGAGUUCUGGCCACUGGAAUGUGGGUGGGAAUUCUGGUCCAUAAAAACCGCAGAAUCCUCCAUUAUCUCAAUCACCCUGGCUGCUAGCCUGACAUGAAUGUCCAGGACAACUUUGGAAGCCAUGUGUUGAAGACAGCAGGGCCUCUUCCAUCCAUGCAUGGAGUAGAAACUUCAUCCCACUCUCCACUGGGGCUGCCAAUGGGAUUUCACAUGAUUAAGAACUAACCUUUGUGUGAUUAAGGAAUCAGCUUCCCUUUUGUGAGUCCAAUGAGAUUUCAGGUUUACGUUACAGCAGUUUUACCCUAACCAAUAUACUUAGCUACUUAACUUCUCUAAACUUCACUUGCCUCUUCAGGUUAAUUCUAGCACCUACCUUCAAUAGUGCUGUUAAGAAGAUUAGAAGAGAAGCAAUUAAUACAAAGAACGCUAAUGCACAGUCCCUGGUUAAAAGUAAGAACACAAAAAAGAUUCAUUACUAUUAUUCUGUGAAGUCUGUUAUUAAUUACUGCUGUUAUGUUUGAUGCAAUAGAAGGCUCUUGCACACAUUAAAAUGCCUAUUCCUUGCUGCCUGAAAUUCCACCAUUCUUUUCUGUAAAUCAACGUCCUCUCCUUUAAAGAGUAACUUCCCCAACUUUAAUUAUAAAAUAAACAUGUUUAUAUGCUUAAUGCAAAAAUUGUGUAUAUAAUACAGAACUUAUAAAGAACAGACUAUUGAUCAUCCAUAAUCCUAUCAUCCAGAGGUAAUCACUGCUAGGAUUUUAGCAUAUGCCUUCUUCUUCUUUAUCUAUUAUUACAAAUAUGCAUAUAUGUAAUACACAUAUACAUUUAUAAAUCAAACAGGGAUAAUACUAAACAUAGUAUUCCACCAAACAUUUUAUCUUGAACAGUCCCUCAUAUGUUCAAACAUACUUUGAGAAGAUGAUGUUUUAUGGGUGCUUAUUGGUGUAUAAAAAGUUAUUUAACUAUUGUAUGGAUAUAUCACACUUUAUUUAACCAUUCCUUUCAUGUGGCAUAUUUUUGUUGCUUCUAUCAGAAUAAAUAAUCUAUGUAGGAUAAACCUCCUUGUACAUGAAAUCUUUACCUCUCUGAUUAUUUACCCUUUCUGCUUUUAUUUUCCUUUAUUUUGACUUCCAAAAAAAAAAUUUAACCCCUCAAAUGAUAGAAAAACUGACACUUAUUUCAUUGUGAUUUAUAUUUUAUCUUUCCUACUUUUUUGUGUGUGGUUUUAAAAGCAAAAAUGCACUGGAAAAGCCCACAUAUCUUUCCCUGAAGGCCUCCUACUAAUAUGUUUAUCAGAUUGUUUUAUUUGCAGAAAGACUAGGCUGUACCUAUAUUGUGAAAGUUAGAGUUAAAAGGAAUUCUGAAAGGACGAAAGAGACAGGAAGUGGAAGACUGAAGAUAAAAUCUCUGCCUAUCUCACAAUUUACACGUGAAGGGAUAUCUCCUCUUCUCCUGUUGUCCCAACCAUCACCAGUAGAUGAGCUACUAUAUUACCUCCUUUUUAUACUAAGCCAGGUGCAAAAAGAACGUGAAAUGUUAAAAAGAGAGGAUCUUGCUUAAUUAAGUUUUUGCUGAGCAUAUAGAUAGCAUUAAGAGUAAGAGUAAACAAUAGCAUCAGUGAAAUAUAAUCCUUGCAGGGCCUCCUGUUUAUUGAAUGGCUUGGGUCAAUGUCAGCAGAUAAAUUAAUAAUGACUCCAGCUUCUUCUGUCUCUGGCAGCUAAAUCAAUGCCCAUAUCAAGGAGAUGCAAUAUUUCUCCACUACAUGUAUCUUGGCAAAAUGGUUGAAAAUAUGUAGGAAUACAGUUUUCAUCCUUCUCGGAAGGUUUCUAUAAGUUGCAAUUUUCUAUUCCCACAGCUGGAGUGAACCACGUGAGUUCGCAACUGGUUUGGUGUAUGCAACAGAGUUGUUACCUAAGGUGAAUGCUCUUCUACCUCAUUUGCAUUUACUUCUGAAUUGUUAUCUAUCCUCUUGGGUGAAGGUCUAGUCACAGAUAUUUGCUGAAAUUAUUAUGUAGCUCUGCUUUCCCCUCAGGCUUCUAUCAAAGUGCAACAUUAAAAUGACGGACAUACAUCUGUCUUUCUUUCUUCACAAAGAAUGGUCAUUCUCAAUAACAUCCUCUUCAAAUAAAAAGGGCAACAGUGUGAAGUACAACCAGGAUUCCAGCAGGAAACAGAUGGCACACUCAGGUUAGAAUAAUUCAUGGAGGAUUCAAUGAAGGGACUAUUCAUAAAGGUGUGGGCAGGGUGUAGGGAAACCACAAGUGAUAGAAUGACACUCCAAGUCUAGUAAAAGGUGGGACAGUGAGCAGCCCUAGGUGGGAGAGGCCAGUUACCAGACCCAGGAAAGAUAGAAUUAUGUGGAAAUGUCUGUGUUGACUUUUGAUAGAGGGAUGCUGCCAGCUGUGGGUGACCUGUGUGGUAGGAGUAUAAGAAAUAAAUACUUGGACUUCAUUCUCCUUUAUCUCUUGAUUUCCUGCUGGGAUUCACAUUGGUAGAACCCAACCAGAAGCCCAAGUGGAAUAGCCCAUACAAGUCAGUCUUCCAGGGUAGUGAGUGGGAGAGGAAAGGGAAGAAGAAUGUACACGGAGACACAUGGGAGAUAGCUGGCAUAGCUGGCAAGGGGGGAAAGACUAAGGGUUUUGCUUGCAUGUGCCACUGUAAGACAUCUAUUAGACAUCAAGAGGAGGUGUGAGGUAGGCAGCUGCAUCUAUGACUGCAGUUCAGGCCGAGGCCUGAGCUGGAAAUAUACGCUUGGGACCCAGAACAUAGAUGCUUUUUAAAGCAAUAAGACUCAUGGUAGUCAUGAAGGGGCAUGGGGAGACUUAAGGACCAUGGGUAGAUACCUGAGAGGGUGGACAGAAAGGAAUACUCAAGAGUGUGGAAGCUGGAAGGCUCCUGGAGAUGAGCAAAUAGUGAGCAUGGAGGGCCAGGAGGGACCAAGUGCCAGAGUGCCAGGCAUCCCAUGGGUCGACUUGGAGGAAACGUGAGCCCCGGCAUCUGGGGAUCUGUCUGUGUUGCAGUGGGGCCUAAGGCCAGGGCCUGACUGCAGAGCAUGUGCCAGAGAACG